ensembl:lncRNA
CAGUACAUUUUCCUGUUUAUAAUACACUGAUUUAUACAAUAUCUCUACUAUAAAAUUAGAAUAAUCUGAUCAAAUUCACAUUUUCAAUAUGCAAGUGUUUUUAAAGCGCUUGAUAUGACGAUCCGCUUCUUUGUGAUCAAGCCAAGUGAGUUUUUUCUUCAUCUACGAUUUUAACGUUAAUAAAGAGAAUCUGAAAUCUUCCAGUCUUUGAAAGAAUAAUGAGAAGUAUUAGAUUAAAAAAAACAACAACAAUUAUUUAUUCUCCAGUGUCUGUUCGAGCAGAUAUCGUUUGGCUUUGAUAAAACUCAUUUUAUUGUCCUUCUGCUGCAGGAGUACAAAGGAAUCUCCAAACACUUUAAUUGGUGUGAAAAACAAAAAUAGUCCACAUCAGAAAAACAAAAUAACCCAGAACAAAACAAAAGGAAACAAUGACGAGAAAAGAAAAAUUAGUAAGAUUACAUCUGCUGCCUGAACAGUAGAAUUCUAAAUAUGAACAUUUUCAUAAAUAUACCUGUUUGUACACAAUGAUUUUCUUCAUAAAGUGGCUUUCGUCGUUACCUACCGCUAAUCUACGACUAAUCGUUGCGAUUAUGCAGGUAUUAUCAGAAGCUAGUUCAUGGAUCUUUAUAUUUACACACGCAGUAUGUAACUGUGAUCAACCUGCUUCAUAUAAAAGGCUUUCUAUACUUCAUCCACCCUGAAAUCAAAGCUAAUCUCUAUUUGCUUCCCUACAGCAGCAAAACAAGGCUCUAUGGGCAGUUAGCUUACUGGAUUAACAGUUUGUAAGAGCCUCUUCCUUAGUCAAGUGGAAGACGCAUCAUGUGAUACAACAGCCUAGAUUGUAUUUUCCAAACGUGUACUGAAGGCAAUGAGCUGCAUUUGGAUGAUAUAAAAAGAAGUUAAAGAAUUUUUAAAAAGAUAAUUGAUAAUUAAGUGUGACAAAAGAAGAAGUAAAUCUAAUCAAAUUAAAAUAAAGGCAAAUUAUUCAAAAGACAUCUGUCAAUCAUGGUCCAUGUGAAAAAUUAGAGCUAGGAGUCGAUGAAAGGGAGGUGCAGGGUAACCAGAAUAAAACAUUUCCACAGCAAAACUAAAUCUCCAUAAAAUUUGAACCCCUCCCCCUCAAAAAACCCUUUCCAUUGCCAACAGCAAAGCUUCCUGCUACAUGAUCGGAAGCUUAACAUUUCCAAAAACAAAACUCACCCAGAGGUGGUGUUCUGACGGCCCCUAUCAAUGUGUUAAACAACAUGAGCAGAACCAGCAGUCCUAGUACUGUGCCAGGUUGGCAGAAGUAGCCUUCAGAGAUUUAAGGACACUUAAUAUUGAAUGAAUACCUCUGGUUCUAGGCCGAGAUGAACAAAUAUCUCAUUACGUAUUGUCAUCAUCUCAUCACCUAAGACCAUGCCUGCCUUCUAUCCUUAUAUUCAUAACACUACAUAUAAUUUAGCUUAGUUUUUACGUGCAAAUACACAAAAAUCUGGCACAAUCAGAUAGCCCACUGGGUGGUGGCACGCAUACACCGAUCAGCCACAACAUUAAACCAUCCAAAAAGACCGAAACAGUUUCCCAAAGCUGCUCAGAUGAACAGCUCUGACCGGCUGAGGGAUGGAGCGAGUGGUUUUGGGUCGGUGCAGCGGAUCCUUCGGGUCCUGUAGGGUUGUGAGUUUGGGGCGGAGGGGUGGCCCCCGAGGAUGAGGCUUGUUCUGGUGGCAGAUCACAUUGGAAUCUGGGUGUCUGGGCUCUUUU